UGUAAAGCUAUCAAACUCAGUGUCUCACCAACGCAGGGUAUAUACUAGCCCAAAAGACUGCCAUAGUAACUAACAGGUGAGUUAAGGGCCCUGACACUCCCUUACCUGGACCUUAGGGAUGAAUCUGUUUACAGAAACCC